GAGGAUAUAGCUCAGCUGGUAGAGCGUCUGCCUUACAAGCCGAAUGUCAAUGGUUCGAGUCCAUUUAUCCUCA
rnacentral:tRNA from 1 species